UAGGGAAUAUUGGACAAUGGGGGAAACCCUGAUCCAGCCAUGCCGCGUGCAGGAUGAAGGCCUUCGGGUUGUAAACUGCUUUUGUACGGAACGAAACGGUCUUUUCUAAUACAGAAGGCUAAUGACGGUACCGUAAGAAUAAGCACCGGCUAACUACGUGCCAGCAGCCGCGGUAAUACGUAGGGUGCAAGCGUUAAUCGGAAUUACUGGGCGUAAAGCGUGCGCAGGCGGUUAUGUAAGACAGUUGUGAAAUCCCCGGGCUCAACCUGGGAACUGCAUCUGUGACUGCAUAGCUAGAGUACGGUAGAGGGGGAUGGAAUUCCGCGUGUAGCAGUGAAAUGCGUAGAUAUGCGGAGGAACACCGAUGGCGAAGGCAAUCCCCUGGACCUGUACUGACGCUCAUGCACGAAAGCGUGGGGAGCAAACAGGAUUAGAUACCCCUGUAGUCCCUGAGCGGGCUGGCAAGGCGCAU
rnacentral:rRNA from 1 species